rnacentral:rRNA from 1 species
AGAACGAACGCUGGCGGCAUGCCUAACACAUGCAAGUCGAACGAGACCUUCGGGUCUAGUGGCGCACGGGUGCGUAACGCGUGGGAACCUGCCCCUUGGUUCGGAAUAACACAGAGAAAUUUGUGCUAAUACCGGAUAAUGACUUCGGUCCAAAGAUUUAUCGCCGAGGGAUGGGCCCGCGUAGGAUUAGCUUGUUGGUGGGGUAAUGGCCUACCAAGGCGACGAUCCUUAGCUGGUCUGAGAGGAUGAUCAGCCACACUGGGACUGAGACACGGCCCAGACUCCUACGGGAGGCAGCAGUGGGGAAUAUUGGACAAUGGGCGAAAGCCUGAUCCAGCAAUGCCGCGUGAGUGAUGAAGGCCUUAGGGUUGUAAAGCUCUUUUACCCGGGAUGAUAAUGACAGUACCGGGAGAAUAAGCUCCGGCUAACUCCGUGCCAGCAGCCGC